GAAUAUUGCACAAUGGAGGGAACUCUGAUGCAGCGACGCCGCGUGAACGAUGAAGGCCUUCGGGUCGUAAAGUUCUGUCCUUGGGGACGAUAAUGACGGUACCCAAGGAGGAAGCCCCGGCUAACUACGUGCCAGCAGCCGCGGUAAUACGUAGGGGGCGAGCGUUGUCCGGAAUUACUGGGCGUAAAGGGUGCGUAGGCGGCCAAUUAAGUCAGAUGUGAAAUACCACGGCUUAACCGUGGGGGUGCAUUUGAAACUGUUUGGCUUGAGUGCAGGAGAGGAAAGCGGAAUUCCUAGUGUAGCGGUGAAAUGCGUAGAGAUUAGGAGGAACACCAGUGGCGAAGGCGGCUUUCUGGACUGUAACUGACGCUGAGGCACGAAAGCGUGGGUAGCGAACA
rnacentral:rRNA from 1 species